ACUCCUACGGGAGGCAGCAGUGGGGAAUUUUGGACAAUGGGCGAAAGCCUGAUCCAGCCAUUCCGCGUGAGUGAAGAAGGCCUUCGGGUUGUAAAGCUCUUUCGCAAGGGAAGAAAACUUACUUUCUAAUAAAGAGUGAGGAUGACGGUACCUUGAUAAGAAGCACCGGCUAACUACGUGCCAGCAGCCGCGGUAAUACGUAGGGUGCGAGCGUUAAUCGGAAUUACUAGGCGUAAAGCGUGCGCAGGCGGUUUUGAAAGUCAGAUGUGAAAUCCCCGAGCUCAACUUGGGAACUGCGUUUGAAACUCCAAAGCUAGAGUAUAGGAGAGGGGGGUAGAAUUCCACGUGUAGCAGUGAAAUGCGUAGAGAUGUGGAGGAAUACCAAUGGCGAAGGCAGCCCCCUGGCCUAAUACUGACGCUCAUGCACGAAAGCGUGGGGAGCAAACGGGAUUAGAUACCCUGGUAGUCCACGCCGUAAACGAUGAGUGCUAAGUGUUAGGGGGUUUCCGCCCCUUAGUGCUGCAGCUAACGCAUUAAGCACUCCGCCUGGGGAGUACGACCGCAAGGUUGAAACUGAAAGGAAUUGACGG
rnacentral:rRNA from 1 species